rnacentral:lncRNA from 1 species
UCGGGAAUUUAUUUAGAUAUUACAAUUAUGAGAAAGAUUACAAAGAUGAUUCGAUUACCGACAAUACUACCUGACUUAUGAGGAUCUACGCCUAACUGCCUCAUUUGAGCCGUCCUAUGAAGAUCACGUCUGGCCGGAUUUACUUGCACCAUGUUGAGAAACUCUUGUAAGCCUUUCUUCCGUAAUCGCAUAAUUGUUGAAUAAAUCGCUUGCUCCGGGAAUUGAAACCUGGAUUUCAUGUGCAAUCUGCAAGAAAUUGAAUAGUCUGGGAUUUGAACCCCAAACUUGGGUGUAGAAGCCUUUAAACCAUAACCACUAGAUUACGGUGCUUCCACAAAUAAUUACAUAUCUAUGCCACUCAAAUUAAUAGUUUGCAAAAUUAUAGUUCUUGGGUCUGGGCAUAAAAAUAAUAGUUUGCAAACUUAUAGUUCUUGGGUUUGGUUUGCAAAUUUAUCUAAUUCUCACUACACUAUUAACUUGCACACAUCAUGUUUCACGAGCAAAUAAAUCUGCACGUUUUCAAAAACACAAACGAAACCAUCAAAUCUUUACGUAUUCAAUAUUCAAUCUUCGAACCAUUUAUAUAUAAAUAAUAUAAUUAUACUAACGUUUGCUCAUGAAAUGAUACUUUAAGACUUAUUCUUGGGUUCACUCCCUAGGGUGAAUCUCUAGGUUCACCAACCAAUAGAAUUUCAUUAUUUCAGAUUCAAUAUCUUUUAGAAAAAGAAACAAAAUAUUGUUAAGUUAUAUUAUGUUUUUAAAAUAAAAAGAUAAAAAAUAAAAAAUAAAAAUAGUAGUAAUUACAAAAAAAUAUUUUUAACGUCGUCAGGAAAAAAGUAAACCCUAAAUCCUAAUCCCUAAACCCUAAAUCUGAAACCCUAAACCCUUGGAUAAAUCAUAAACUCUAAAUCAAAAACACUAAACACUAAAACACUCAAGGGUUUAGGAUUUUAGUGUUUAGUGUUUUUGAUUUAGAAUUUAUGAUUUAUCCAAGGAUUUAGGGUUUACCCAAGGGUUUAGGGUUUACCCAAAGGUUUAGGGUUUCAGAUUUAGGGUUUAGGGAUUAGGAUUUAGAGUUUAGUGUUUUGCUGGCGACGUUAACAAUAUUUUUUAAAAAGACUUCUUUUUUUUGUAACAAUUUUUUAUUUACUUUUUUAUUUU